GUGGGGAAUAUUGGACAAUGGGGGGAACCCUGAUCCAGCCAUGCCGCGUGUGUGAAGAAGGCCUUUUGGUUGUAAAGCACUUUAAGCGAGGAGGAGGCUACCGAGAUUAAUACUCUUGGAUAGUGGACGUUACUCGCAGAAUAAGCACCGGCUAACUCUGUGCCAGCAGCCGCGGUAAUACAGAGGGUGCAAGCGUUAAUCGGAUUUACUGGGCGUAAAGCGCGCGUAGGUGGCCAAUUAAGUCAAAUGUGAAAUCCCCGAGCUUAACUUGGGAAUUGCAUUCGAUACUUGUUGGCUAGAGUAUGGGAGAGGAUGGUAGAAUGCCAGGUGUAGCGGUGAAAUGCGUAGAGAUCUGGAGGAAUACCGAUGGCGAAGGCAGCCAUCUGGCCUAAUACUGACACUGAGGUGCGAAAGCAUGGGGAGCAAACAGGAUUAGAAACCCUUGUAGUCC
rnacentral:rRNA from 1 species